UCGAGGGGUAUUGGUUUUCGGACCUAGAGACCGGCGCACGGGUGCGUAACGCGUAUGCAAUCUACCUUUUGCAGAGGGAUAGCCCAGAGAAAUUUGGAUUAAUACCUCAUAGUAUAGCANCUUGGCAUCAUGAAGCUAUUAAAGUCACAACGGCAAAAGAUGAGCAUGCGUCCCAUUAGCUAGUUGGUAAGGUAACGGCUUACCAAGGCAACGAUGGGUAGGGGUCCUGAGAGGGAGAUCCCCCACACUGGUACUGAGACACGGACCAGACUCCUACGGGAGGCAGCAGUGAGGAAUAUUGGACAAUGGGCGCAAGCCUGAUCCAGCCAUGCCGCGUGCAGGAUGACGGUCCUAUGGAUUGUAAACUGCUUUUAUACGAGAAGAAACACUCCAACGUGUUGGAGCUUGACGGUAUCGUAAGAAUAAGGAUCGGCUAACUCCGUGCCAGCAGCCGCGGUAAUACGGAGGAUCCAAGCGUUAUCCGGAAUCAUUGGGUUUAAAGGGUCCGUAGGCGGUUUGGUAAGUCAGUGGUGAAAGCCCAUCGCUCAACGGUGGAACGGCCAUUGAUACUGCCAGACUUGAAUUACUGGGAAGUAACUAGAAUAUGUAGUGUAGCGGUGAAAUGCUUAGAGAUUACAUGGAAUACCAAUUGCGAAGGCAGGUUACUACNANUGGAUUGACGCUGAUGGACGAAAGCGUGGGUAGCGAACAGGAUUAGAUACCCUGGUAGUCCACGCCGUAAACGAUGGAUACUAGCUGUUGGGAGUAAUCUCAGUGGCUAAGCGAAAGUGAUAAGUAUCCCACCUGGGGAGUACGAACGCAAGUUUGAAACUCAAAGGAAUUGACGGGGGCCCGCACAAGCGGUGGAGCAUGUGGUUUAAUUCGAUGAUACGCGAGGAACCUUACCAAGGCUUAAAUGUAGAUUGACCGGGUUUGGAAACAGACNUUUUUCGCAAGACAAUUUACAAGGUGCUGCAUGGUUGUCGUCAGCUCGUGCCGUGAGNUGU
rnacentral:rRNA from 1 species